CCAAACAGUAUGUUGCCUGUCUCUGCCUCACACCCCACAGGAAACCAGGAAACCAGCGCUGGUAGGAGCCUGAGAAAAUUACGAUCAAAUGAGGCUGAUUCUGAUUGGCACACAGCUGCAUCUAUUGGCGCUACAAACUAUUUCCCUGCUGUACAUCCGUGCUCCCAAAUGUGCAAGAACUGAGACGGCCACUGUUAGUGCCCGUGCAUGAGAUUUAUCUGGCUGAGGACAGCACAGCAUUUGAGCCUACACUUCCAGUGACCCCGUGGAAAGAAGAACCGGUGUGUAAUUAAUUGUCCAUAGAAACAUGGAUGUAAUAAUGAUGCCAGAGUUCUGGGAAGCAUGUUGGCCUCUGAAGAUCAUAUGGGAGCGCAUUAACCAUGCAUACAGUUCAGAUACUCCUCCUAAGGACUGGGGACUUCAAAAAGGGGACUCUGGCAUCCAAACCUGGGUUUUCCCAUCUAACAAUGAAAAAUACACCGUCGCUUGGGAUUCUGUCUGCUCCUAUUGGCAGGUGAACACUCCGUUUGGACAAAGUUUAUAUUUUGCAGGACCUCUGUUCAUCAACAAAGAAAGGACUGGUCUAGCUGUACCCCCGUUAUUUAAUGUCAAUGUGUCAGAUACAUUGAUACCGGCCUUGUCUUCAAUGGUGAUAGAGCAAAUGCAUAACAUUAAGCGUUUUGUGGUUAAGCCAUACAACAGCAACACAUCAUGAGGCACAAACUAUGGACCUGGUUCUGAUUUGGGAGUAAAGCAAAAAAAUAGCAAGUAACGAUGUAUUUGGAACAAAGCCACAUAAUAUCUAUCCAAGCCUUUGAGUUCUGAAAACUGGAGACCUGCUGGCGGUAGUAGACCUACAGUGUACGCUGCUGCCAGGUAUCUGGCCCUAGGAAGAUCACCACCUGACCCCGGUCCACCCCACAACAGCAGAAGACCAUUAGAAGAAUAGUGUUACAUUAUAUGAUGCAUGGAUAGGACACAUAGGUGUAAAUUUACUAAGAUGGGAGUUCUAUUUAAGAUGGGAUGUUGUCCAUAGCAACCAAUCAGAUUCCAGGUAUUAUCUUCUAGACGGUGCUAGAUAAAUGAGAGGUAGAAUCUUAACUAGAACUCCCAUCUUAUUAAAUUUACCCCACAGAUGUUAAUGGGAGGUAAGCAAUAAUCUUUAUAUUGACUACGAUACUGAAGGCACUGAGGGUAGAGCUGUUAAUGCAAUAAUAAUAUAAAGUGUGAUAAUGGUGACAAUGGGGGUCAUUCCGAGUUGAUCGUAGCCCUGCCAAAUUUUGCAGGGCUCCGAUCAUGUCCAUAGACAUGCGGGGAGACGGUGCUUUUGCACUUUAGGAGUAGCUCCCGGCCCCGUCAUUCCCAGGCCCGAAGUGGCUGUGUGUGAUGUCACACAGCCACUGCAGCCCGCCCCUCCCCCCCCCCCCCCACCCCACGCACGGUCCAGCCACGCCUGCGUUGGCCGGACCGGUCCCACGAAAUUCCGCCGUUUCGUCCCCCCCCCUUAACGACCACCUCUGACUGGCAAUCAGGCAGAGGCGAUUGUACCGCAGCUACGGCCUUUGGCUGUCUGGCAUGCGCCGGCGCACUGUGGCACCGACGCAUGUGCAGUUCUGACCCAAUCGCACCGCUGCGAUAAACUGCAGCAUGCAAUCGGGUCAGAAUGACCCCCAAUGUCAUUCAACCAAUAUAUGUUUUUGAAAUAAGAUGAAGAAUAUACUGUAUGCAUCGA